rnacentral:rRNA from 1 species
GAUGAACGCUGGCGGCGUGCCUAAUACAUGCCAGUCGAGCGAACAGACGAGGAGCUUGCUCCUCUGACGUUAGCGGCGGACGGGUGAGUAACACGUGGAUAACCUACCUAUAAGACUGGGAUAACUUCGGGAAACCGGAGCUAAUACCGGAUAAUAUAUUGAACCGCAUGGUUCAAUAGUGAAAGACGGUUUUGCUGUCACUUAUAGAUGGAUCCGCGCCGCAUUAGCUAGUUGGUAAGGUAACGGUUUACCAAGGCAACGAUGCGUAGCCGACCUGAGAGGGUGAUCGGCCACACUGGAACUGAGACACGGUCCAGACUCCUACGGGAGGCAGCAGUAGGGAAUCUUCCGCAAUGGGCGAAAGCCUGACGGAGCAACGCCGCGUGAGUGAUGAAGGUCUUCGGAUCGUAAAACUCUGUUAUUAGGGAAGAACAAAUGUGUAAGUAACUAUGCACGUCUUGACGGUACCUAAUCAGAAAGCCACGGCUAACUACGUG